UGGAUGCAGGAGGUGUAGACAGUGUGUGUGUGUGGAUGCAGGCAGGAGGUGUAGACUGUGUGGAUGCAGGCAGGAGGUGUAGACAGUGUGUGUGGAUGCAGGCAGGAGGUGUAGACAGUGUGUGUGUGUGUGUGGAUGCAGGCAGGAGGUGUAGACAGUGUGUGUGGAUGCAGGCAGGAGGUGUAGACAGUGUGUGUGUGUGGAUGCAGGCAGGAGGUGUAGACAGUGUGUGUGGAUGCAGGCAGGAGGUGUAGACAGUGUGUGUGGAUGCAGGCAGGAGGUGUAGACUGUGUGUGUGGAUGCAGGCAGGAGGUGUAGACAGUGUGUGUGGAUGCAGGCAGGAGGUGUAGACAGUGUGUGUGGAUG